GGCUCUUUGUGUUUUAAAUUAUAGGGAGUCGGACCUGCCCGGUGACGUAAUGUUAAACGGCCGCGGUACCCUAACCGUGCUAAGGUAGCAUAAUCAUUUGCCUUUUAAUUGGAGGCUGGUAUGAAUGGUUUGACGAGAACUAAGCUGUCUCUUUUAAAAUAUUUAGAAUUUAAUUUUUAGGUGAAGAAGCCUAAAUUUAGCUGAGGGACAAGAAGACCCUGUUGAGCUUUAGUAAAGUAGGAUAUAGUUCAUAUCAAAUUGAUUAAUUGUAUUUUUAUAAUUUAAUUAUUCUGCUAAUCUUUAGUUGGGGCGACUAAGGAACAUGUAAAGCUUCCUUUAAGUUAAGGUAAUAUUUGUCGGCAGAUUAGUGAGAUCCAGUAUAUGCUGAUCAAAGGAAAAAGUUACCACAGGGAUAACAGCGUAAUCUUUCUGGAGAGAUCUUAUCGAAAGGAGGGUUUGCGACCUCGAUGUUGGACUAAGAUAUCCCAAGGGUGCAGAAGCUCUUGAUGGUUGGUCUGUUCGACCAUUAAAAUCUUACA
rnacentral:rRNA from 1 species